rnacentral:rRNA from 1 species
GAGGGCGCAAGCGUUGUUCGGAUUCACUGGGCAUAAAGAGCACGUAGGCGGUCUGCUCAGUCGGGUGUGAAAGCCCACGGCCCAACCGUGGAACUGCACCCGAUACUGGUAGACUCGAGGACGGAAGGGGUGAGUGGAACUCCAGGUGGAACGGUGAAAUGUAUAGAUAUCUGGAGGAACACCGGUGGCGAAAGCGGCUCACUGGUCCGUCUCUGACGCUGAGGUGCGAAAGCUAGGGUAGCGAACGGG